rnacentral:misc_RNA from 1 species
AAGUCGUAACAAGGUUUCCGUAGGUGAACCUGCGGAAGGAUCAUUAAAAGAAUCUGCCUCACCCACAGAUAUCUUAUCACGUGUGAACUGUCUAGCUUGUCACCCGAGAUGGACACCUCAGAGAUCUCGGUCUUUGGGGGGUCUGUCUUGGGGGUCAGCUUAUGCUACUGAUUGUGCCCCGAGAAUCUUUAAAAGACUUUAAAACUUUUAGCAAUGGAUCUCUAGGCUCCU